rnacentral:rRNA from 1 species
CUGGCGGCGGCCUACACAUGNCAGUCGAGCGGUAGAGAGAAGCUUGCUUCUCUUGAGAGCGGCGGACGGGUGAGUAAUGCCUAGGAAUCUGCCUGGUAGUGGGGGAUAACGUCCGGAAACGGACGCUAAUACCGCAUACGUCCUACGGGAGAAAGCAGGGGACCUUCGGGCCUUGCGCUAUCAGAUGAGCCUAGGUCGGAUUAGCUAGUUGGUGGGGUAAUGGCUCACCAAGGCGACGAUCCGUAAUUGGUCUGAGAGGAUGAUCAGUCACACUGGAACUGAGACACGGUCCAGACUCCUACGGGAGGCAGCAGUGGGGAAUAUUGGACAAUGGGCGAAAGCCUGAUCCAGCCAUGCCGCGUGUGUGCAGAAGGUCUUCGGAUUGUAAAGCACUUUAAGUUGGGAGGAAGGGCCAUUACCUAAUACGUGAUGGUUUUGACGUUACCGACAGAAUAAGCACCGGCUAACUCUGUGCCAGCAGCCGCGGUAAU